rnacentral:rRNA from 1 species
AGUUUAACGGCCGCGGUAUUCUGACCGUGCAAAGGUAGCAUAAUCACUUGUUCUCCAAAUAAGGACUUGUAUGAAUGGCCACACGAGGGUUUUACUGUCUCUUACUUCCAAUCAGUGAAAUUGACCUUCCCGUGAAGAGGCGGGAAUAAAAAAAUAAGACGAGAAGACCCUAUGGAGCUUUAAUUAACUAUUCCAAAAGUUAAACAAUUCAACCACAAAGGGAUAAAACAUAACUUAACAUGGACUAGCAAUUUCGGUUGGGGUGACCUCGGAGUACAAAAAACCCUCCGAGUGAUUUUAAUCUAGACAAACCAGUCAAAAUAACCAUAACAUCACUUAUUGAUCCAAAACUUUGAUCAACGGAACAAGUUACCCUAGGGAUAACAGCGCAAUCCUAUUCUAGAGUUCCUAUCGACAAUAGGGUUUACGACCUCGAUGUUGGAUCAGGACACCCAAAUGGUGCAACCGCUAUUAAAGGUUCGUUUGUUCAACGAUUAAAGUCCUACGUGAUCUGA